AACGAACGCUGGCGGCAUGCCUAACACAUGCAAGUCGAACGAGACCUGCGGGUCUAGUGGCGCACGGGUGCGUAACGCGUGGGAACCUGCCCUUAGGUUCGGAAGAACUCCCCGAAAGGGGUGCUAAUACCGGCUAAUGUCUUCGGACCAAAGAUUUAUCGCCUUUGGAUGGGCCCGCGUUGGAUUAGCUAGUUGGUAGGGUAAAAGCCUACGAAGGCGACGAUCCAUAGAUGGUCUGAGAGGAUGAUCAGCCACACUGGGACUGAGACACGGCCCAGACUACUAGGGGAGGCAGCAGUGGGGAAUAUUGGACAAUGGGCGAAAGCAUGAUCCAGCAAUGCCGGGUGAGUGAUGCAGGCGUUAGGGUUGUAAAGCUCUUUUACCCGGGAUGCUAAUGACAGUACCGGGAGAAUAAGCACCGGCUAACUCCGUG
rnacentral:rRNA from 1 species